GAAACGCCCGGUCCCAUUCCGAACCCGGAAGCUAAGGCCACCUGCGCCGAUGGUACUGCACUCGACAGGGUGUGGGAGAGUAGGACACCGCCGGAA
rnacentral:rRNA from 1 species